GAUGCCAGCUAGCGAUCCGCCAAAGUUCCUCCGAUGACUUGGUGGGCAGCUUCCGGGAAACCAAAGCAUUUGGGUUCCGGGGGAAGUAUGGUUGCAAAGCUGAAACUUAAAGGAAUUGACGGAAGGGCACCACCAGGAGUGGAGCCUGCGGUUAAAUUUGACUCAACACGGGAAACCUCACCAGGCCCGGACACCGGAAGGAUUGACAGAUUGAGAGCUCUUUCUUGAUUCGGUGGGUGGUGGUGCAUGGCCGUUCUUAGUUGGUGGAGCGAUUUGUCUGGUUAAUUCCGAUAACGAACGAGACUCUAGCCUACUAAAUAGACGUACUUUAUUACCGGCAUCUCAAGGCCCAUCGGCUGUAUUGUUACUGAAUGUUAUUUGUAUAUUUUGUUGAUAUAUAUUUAUUAUAUGUAUGAUUGAUAAU
rnacentral:rRNA from 1 species